UCCCUAGGUAUAAAUAAGUGAAUUACAUUCAUAGAGGACAUGAAGCACAGUCUCAUUAUUAUUUUUCAAUUCACCAUGAGUCACUAAUCUCUUCGUCAAAGGGGGGAGAAAGAAAGAGAGACGAACAAGGAGAGAGAAGGGCAGCGCUACUGCCGUUGCUACUGGGGCUCGUCGCCGGAGCCACAACCAUCUUCGUCGAAGAAGCUUGUCGGCAAUCUGCACUCCGCUGUUAGAGUAGUCGUCGCCGUUGUUGAGCUAUAUGUCGCUGGUAUUUGCAUUAUGAAGUUUCAUCGUAGCAGCCAUCACCGAGCAGCCUCUCCUCGCCAAGCAAUGGCAUCCCAAGUCCUCUCCUGAAAAAUGCUAUAUUUACUUUACAUUGCUCACAGCCCAACAACAUUGAAUAUGAUAUGGCUAUGGAAUGGUGCUUACUACAAGAAAGAGCAGACAAAGCAUGGUCAAGAUUAUAUCAGCGUCAAGGGGAGAAAUUGAGGAAGCUGAAAGCCAAGAAUUAUGGGUAUUACAACUACUGUAGAUACAGAAGCUAGCCAUUUAGUUCAUUAGAGACACGUCCUGUUUCAAAGAGAAAGGGUGAUACUGUUAUUGGAGGAACUGUGAAUGAGAAUCGGGUGCUACAUAUUAAGGCCACCAGGGUUGGCUCAAAGAGUACCCUUUCUCAUAUUAGAAUACUAUUAGUGGUGCAUCUAAAUGUAAUAUUUUGAUGUCUUCUGUAUUGUUUAUGAGACUUUGCCCUGCCGGUAUUACAUGUAAUGGUUAUAAUAUAAUAUAUUUUUAUUUGUGUUAUUUAGACAAAAAAAACAUAUCUAGCUUAUAAUGUAAAUUU